rnacentral:rRNA from 1 species
GUCCACACUGUAAACGAUGAAUACUAGGUGUGCGGGGACUGACCCCUGCGUGCCGCAGUUAACACAAUAAGUAUUCCACCUGGGGAGUACGAUCGCAAGGUUGAAACUCAAAGGAAUUGACGGGGCCCGCACAAGCGGUGGAUUAUGUGGUUUAAUUCGAAGCAACGCGAAGAACCUUACCAGGGUUUGACAUCCUGCUAACGAAGUAGAGAUACAUUAGGUGCCCUUCGGGGAAAGCAGAGACAGGUGGUGCAUGGUUGUCGU